AAGUCCAUGGUGUGGACAUUUUCAAAACAAACCUCUAAACCUUUCACAUGUUUCAUAUAGUGUCUCACCAUCCAAUUGACUAAAAUUAGUAAUAUCCAUUCUAAAUUU